rnacentral:rRNA from 1 species
AUACAGAAGCCUCAAGCGUUACCCGGAUUCACUGGGCGUAAAGGGUGCGUAGGCGGUUAUAUUAGUCGGGUGUUAAAUCCUGAGGCUCAACCUCAGGCUCGCAUUCGAAACGGUAUAACUAGAAGAAGUGAGAGGUGAACAGAACUCAUGGUGUAGGGGUGAAAUCCGUUGAUAUCAUGGGGAAUACCAAAUGCGAAGGCAGUUCACUGGCACUUUCUUGACGCUGAGGAACGAAAGCGUGGGUAGCGAACGGGAUUAGAAACCCCAGUAGUCC